rnacentral:rRNA from 1 species
AGGCUCGUCAAUCGAAAUGAGUACAAUUUAAAUCCUUUAACGAGUACCAAUUGGAGGGCAAGUCUGGUGCCAGCAGCCGCGGUAAUUCCAGCUCCAAUAGCGAAUAUUAAAUUUGUUGCAGUUAAAAAGCUCGUAGUUGGAUCCAAGGUUAGGCAUGCCUGUCUGUUCUUAGCAGCAUGACUGUGUGUGUCUGCCUUUAUUAGUUGAAUGUUCAUUAUGGUGGUCUUCAUCGACUGCUAUGAUGUGCUCAACACGUUUACCUUGAAAAAAUCAGAGCGAUCAAGGCAGGCCUUCGUGCUUGUAUGUUGUUGCAAGGAAUAAUAGAAUAGGACUUCGGUUCUAUUUUGUUGGUUUUGAGAAUUGAAGUAAUGAACAAUAGAGACAGUCGGGGGCAUUUGUAUGGUGGCGUUAGAGGUGAAAUUCUGAGAUCGUCGCCAGACAAACUACUGCGAAAGCAUUUGCCAAGGAUGUCUUCAUUAAUCAAGAACGAAAGUCAGAGGUUCGAAGACGAUCAGAUACCGUCCUAGUUCUGACCAUAAACGAUGCCGACCUACAAUUGGGGGUGGUUUAUUAUAUUGACCCUCCCGGCUGUCCUCAGGAAACUUUAAGUUGGUUCUGGGGGGAAUAUGGUCUCAAGACUGAAACUUAAAGGAAUUGACGGAAGGGCACCACCAGGAGUGGAGCCUGCGGCUUAAUUUGACCCAACACGGGGAAUCUCACCCGGUCCGGACACUGGUAGGAUGGACAGAUUGAUAGCUCUUUCUUGAUUCAGUGGGUGGUGGUGCAUGGCCGUUCUUAGUUGGUGGAGUGAUUUGUCUGGUUAAUUCCGAUAACGAACGAGACUCUGUCCUGCUAAAUAGUCCAGUGGCAUCAAUCACUAUGUGAUUACAGCUGCUGUUACUUCUUAGAGGGAUUCGCGGAUUUAAACCGCAAGAAAUAGAGCAAUAACAGGUCUGUGAUGCCCUUAGAUGUCCGGGGCCGCACGCGCGCUACAUUGACAGUAGAAGCGAGUAUUUCUACCUGGUUCGAAAGAAUUGGGAAAUCUUCGAAUUACUGUCUCCACAGGGAUUGAGGUUUGCAAUUUUGCCUCAUGAACGAGGAAUUCCCAGUAGGCGCAAGUCAUCAGCUUGCGUCGAUUACGUCCCUGCCCUUUGUACACACCGCCCGUCGCUACUACCGAUUGAGUGCAUUAGUGAGGACCUCGGAUUGAGAACAUAGUGGCGCAAGUUACUUUGUUUUCGAAAAGUGGCUCAAAUUUGUGCAUUUAGAGAUAGUAAAAGUCGU